rnacentral:tRNA from 1 species
UCUCCAGUGGCGCAGUUGGUUAGCGCAUGGUACUUAUAUGACAGUGUCCACUAAACGCUAAAUGAAAGGAUUGGAAUAGUAAUUGUUGAGUAAUGCCGAGGUCGCGAGUUCGAGCCUCGCCUGGAGAA